CGGGGAAUCCGGCAUGGAAAGGAGAAAAGAACAAGAAAAUAAGCCCAGUUAGACUAAGCCCCUGUUUUGUCCAUUCCCUUCGAAACUCAGAAUGGACACAUCCUGCUGUGCUGGAUGCUACAGAACAACACAGAAAGCACCAAGGACACUGUGGUUUUGCCACUUUUAAGUAAAAACAUACUUUUCCACGGCCUUUCCCUAGGCAGAAAGACAAACUCCAGAGCUCCAAGCCCUGGGAGGUACAAGGUCCCAACGCUAUCUUGGUUCUUCCUGGGAACCAAGGCCGAGAACAACUCUUGGAGAUACAUUUCAUGGACAAAGUGCACCAAACCAAGGUGGGGUGCUCCAGAGAAGGGGCUUGCAUCACCACUUGUCCUCCUAAUUGGUGCUUUUCAUCAAUCAUGCUAAUUUCAUAUAAAACCUACAAAUGUGUUCUCACCCCCGGGGGUGGGCAUUUGGAGACAUCUUCCCAUAACUGCUCCUGAAGGCCUUCAUUAAAGAUCCCCUUUUAUAUUA